GGGGAGGCUCCCGCCCCCGGACCCCCGGCUCGGCGGGUCUGAGACCCCGGCGCGCCAGGGGGCUGGAAGAGCCAGGGCCGAGGCCGGCUGCGUCGCGGAGCGCGGGGCCGCAGAACCCCAUCGAUUCGCCUCGGCUCCCUGGCUGGCCCGGGCCGCUGUCCUUGACCUGAGUGAGUCAACACGGCGUCAUCCCUUGGCGGCCGAGCCCGGGGUGGCUGUUACUGCGUGGUACUUCCAACCAACCUCGUGAGCCAGGCGCCCCAGGUAAGCGAACUUCCGUGUAGCCUUCGGGCGUACAACCUUGAGGGCAGCAGGAACCACCAUCCGUUUUUUCUUGUCGUAGGGUGGCAGGAUCCCAUCAAACACCUUGAGGCGCUCCAGGGCAGCCUGGCCUCGUUUGGUCUUGUGCGGCAGCAUGCCUCGCACUGUCUGCCAAAAGAUGCGGCUGGGUGCUCGGAAGUGGUAGGGGCCACAGGAUGGAUUGGUGUUCAUGCGCUUGUGGAGGAAGGCCAGGUACUUCAACUUGUUUCUGUAGAAAUUGCCAGAAAUGUUGAUGGCCUCACAGCGCACGACUACAACCUUCCGGCCCAGAAGCACCUGUUUGGCCACGAUGGCCGCCAGGCGGUCCAGGAGAUGGCCUCGGCCAUCAAGCACCAAGACCUGCCCCUCCACCAUCUUUGGCAGCCGCCUGGGAAAAGUAGUAUUAUAAUUCUUAAUACUUCUACUACUAAUAUUGAGACUGUCAUCAUUUUUAUUGGCAGUAUAGU
rnacentral:lncRNA from 1 species